UACGGAGGGUGCGAGCGUUGUCCGGAAUCAUUGGGCGUAAAGGGCGCGUAGGUGGCCCGGUCAGUUCGUGGUGAAAUCGCCCGGCUCAACUGGGCGAGGUCCGUGGAAACUGGUCGACUGGAGGACGGUAGAGGCGAGUGGAAUUCCCCGGUGUAGUGGUGAAAUGCGUAGAGAUCGGGAGGAACACCAGUGGCGAAGGCGGCUCGCUGGGCCGGUCCUGACACUGAGGCGCGAAGGCGUGGGGAGCGAACGGG
rnacentral:rRNA from 1 species